AACACUUCUUUGCAUAACGUCGUUGUUGCUUCUUUAAACUUCAUCACUUUUGUACUUCAAUAGAUCUCCUCAGUUCAGUUCCUUCCCAGAUCAAGUCUUCCAUCGAAACCCUAACACUGUGACACUAUCGCUGUUUUGCACCGCUGCCAUCGCUCUGUUCCUCUCAUCUAACUCGAGUCCUCAAAGCCCCUUUCUCUCGAAUCUCUAAUCUCUAUCUCUCAAGUUCUCAACUGUUGAAAAGUGAAGCCCUAGCCGCUCCCGUCACUAUUUUGCACUGCUGCCAUCACCUCUGCCUCUCGUUCAGUUGCCAUUUGCCCCAUCUCUCUCUCUCAACUCCGAAGUCUACGGGCAGACGAAUUCCACUGAUUGAAAGCCCAUUUCUGAUAUGUUUCCCAAAUGCCAUGGCUUUGCUGGGUAGAUCAAGAUAUGCUGUAAGCUAUCACAUGUUUUGUGGGAUUGCAGUUUCAGCACAUACUUUUAAUAGGAAAUAAGGAGUGAAGAUCUCCAUAAUGAUGCAGUUUGGGUACUAAUAAUUCUUCAAUAGGCUUGGUUUAAUUAUUUGCAUUUCCUAAUUGUUCAAUCUAUUAUUAUAUCAACACAUGAUUUGGCAGAUGCUUAUAUCAAAACAGUUCCCUUGUGUAGCUUACCCCAAUUCCCGAUUGAAGAUGUGAAGAGUAGUGACAUUGGUUUUUUUUUUUUUUUUUUUGAUUGGAGUAGUGACAUUGUAUUAGUUUAAUUAGUUGUGAUGU